rnacentral:rRNA from 1 species
AGAGUUUGAUCCUGGCUCAGAAUCAACGCUGGCGGCGUGCCUAACACAUGCAAGUCGAACGAGAAAGGGUAGCAAUACCUGAGUAAAGUGGCGCACGGGUGAGUAACACGUGACUAACCUACCCUUGAGUGGGGAAUAACUUCGGGAAACCGAGGCUAAUACCGCAUAACACCUACGGGUCAAAGGAGCAAUUCGCUUAAGGAGGGGGUCGCGGCAGAUUAGUUAGUUGGCGGGGUAAUGGCCCACCAAGACGGUGAUCUGUAUCCGGCCUGAGAGGGCGCACGGACGCACUGGAACUGAAACACGGUCCAGACUCCUACGGGAGGCAGCAGUGGGGAAUUUUGCGCAAUGGGGGAAACCCUGCACGCAUCAACGUCCGCGUGGAGGAUUAAAUCCACUUGGGGUAAACUCCUUUCGAUCGGGACGAUAAUGACGGUACC